rnacentral:rRNA from 1 species
UGGGGAAUAUUGCACAAUGGGCGAAAGCCUGAUGCAGCAACGCCGCGUGAGGGACGAAUGCCUUCGGGUUGUAAACCUCUUUUAGCAGGGAAGAAGCGAAAGUGACGGUACCUGCAGAAAAAGCGCCGGCUAACUACGUGCCAGCAGCCGCGGUAAUACGUAGGGCGCAAGCGUUAUCCGGAAUUAUUGGGCGUAAAGAGCUCGUAGGCGGUUUGUUACGUCUGCUGUGAAAUCUGGGGGCUCAACCCCCAGCCUGCAGUGGGUACGGGCAGACUAGAGUGUGGUAGGGGAGACUGGAAUUCCUGGUGUAGCGGUGAAAUGCUCAGAUAUCAGGAGGAACACCAAUGGCGAAGGCAGGUCUCUGGGCCACUACUGACGCUGAGGAGCGAAAGCGUGGGGAGCAAACAGG